UGCACUUACCACCUCUGUGCUCUCCUGCCCUGCUCCCUGGUGGCCCAGGUAAAUGGUGGCCGGGGCUCCCAGGUAAAUGGGGGCUACCAGGCCCCAGAGGGGUGAGGAUCAUCAGGCGUUGCCCCUUCUGGUUUGUGAAGAUGGACGUCCCUGAAGACCUGACCGAGGACCAGCCCACCUGGUGCCUCACCCCGAAAUCCUGACUCAAGAGCUGAAGUUGUGUUUCCCGCCAGACUGGCAGAGUGGGGCUUAGGGACUGAAAUACCCAGCAGAAAACAGAAACCCUCCUUACACGACUACGUGCAUGGAGCGGGAUUCACGUCCAGCACGCUCACGUGACCUCCUGUUACUCCCACAUUCACCCCGGAGGUUGGAAGCCCUGUUCCUAUCGCACAGAUGAGAAAGAUUGCAGGAUCCAACUGGUUUUGCUGCCUCCCAGGACCACCCUUCCGUAAGUCCCCAGAAUGCUCAAACGCUCUGUGGCCACCUUUCCCAGGAACCACCAAACUGUUUUCCAAACUGGCCGGGUGAAAAAGCUGGGCACGGUGGCCUGGAGGCUGAGA